GUACCAUAGAGAGGAGCCGGAUAGCACGGCCCGCCCCUCUGCACAGCUCGGCGGACCUGGGGAUGGGGCCGGGAGGUUCUGGGCACGGGUUUGGGAUCGUGUGGACCCCAUAAUAAAUGCCCUGUGUGCACCCAGUAAUAAAUGCCCUGUGUGCACCCAGUAAUAAAUGCCCUGUGUGCAGGUGAUGUGAUGUGUGAUGUACGCUAUGUGCAGGUGAUGUGCUGCACCUCGGGUUGCUCUAUGGGCAGAUGCUUCUCAGACAUACAGCAGAUGUCCCAACCUUGCACACCCCCAAGCUUCAAUGGGGCUCUGAGCACCUGAUGGAGCGUCCUCGUUCAUUGCAGGUUAUGGGACUAAAUGACCUUUAAAGGUCCCUUCCGACUCAAACUAUGCUGUGGUUCUAUGAGAAAGGUCACGUCAGGUGUGAUCGGAAACCUGAGCGAUCCCGCAAUCAGUGCUUUGAUUAGUUAUGAACAUUCAUAAGUGGGAAAUUGAAUGCAUGAAAUAUCGGUGAAUGGCAAUGUGUGAAAUAAUGCAUUCAGUGAACCUGCAGCAGCUCUCAGCCCACAGCCUGGCUCAGUGAUGGAGGAGCUCGCAGAGGGUCCCGGGUUGUGCUUACUGCUGUGCUAUCUGUUUCUUAGUUCUGUAGGCACAUAAAUUCUUGGUUGUUCCGGCAAUUUGUCUCUUUUUUUUCAAGAAUAUGGUUUUCCUUUUGCUGGUAAUUCUCGUUACGAACUCGUAGUUCUUGUUCGGCAUUACUCCUGCUGUCUGUGUGGAUGGCUGCAAGGUUCAGCUCUGAAUGUGGCUUUUAAGAGGAUACACAAUCACUCUGCUGUCAUCCUGAAAGCUUUAUCCUACCACUAGAUUUCUUUUAGUUCUUCAUCCUUCUCCUUUUUUCAUAGUAUCAUAUGGGGCACGUUGUUUAUCAUCUUCUCCACAGAUCGGUCCUGACACUGUAAUUAUAAAGUUGUUUAGCUAUCUGUUUUACUAAACGUAUCUGUAUAAAAUGUUGGAUGUUGUGAUCGUCUUGCUAUAAUGCUACUGGAUGUAUUUCCCAAGCUACUAAGUUUGUUUGGAGAUGAAAAUUAGAUGCAAAAUAGAAACAUAAGCACCUCCAUUCUGUAAUCUUGCCAUAAUUUUCUCUCUCAUCAAUGUAGUAUCAGUAAUUAAUGCUCCUAGAAACGUACACUUUCUUUGUUGCUAUGGGUUUAUCCAAGAUCUCAGCUAAUCACAGAAUUAUUGUUGCUGUUAUCCUAGUUUUCUUUCAAGUCCCCAGCUGCCUGGUGUGUGAUACUCUGUCUUUUUUGCAACUGGCAAGUCAAUAGCAAAGCUAAUCUGUUUUGAUUCAUAUCAUGAGGAUGCCACAGGAGUUGGAACAACUUCAGUUGUGCAAUUGCUGCGCAUUUAUGGCAUCUACUAUGGAAAAAGAAAAGAGCUGAAUGAAGAGGAGAUGAGAGAGGCUCUGAGCAAUGAGGCAGGGGACUGUCCAGGGCGAGAAUCAAGUGGAGAUAGCCAAGACACAUUUGCCACUGGAACUUUAUUCCCUGCGUGCUGGAACUGUUUCCUCCUGUCUCACAGUGGUCUUUGGACAUCUCCUCUGGGCCAUAUUGAAAGACCUGAGCUGAUUGGAACUGCUGAAUGUGUAGGGAAGAUUUCAGCACAGCUCUGAGUGCUGGGACAUCGGAGCUAUGCAAAGAGUGGGGAGGGAGAUUCGAGCCCUCCCCCCUCCCCUUUGAGUCUGAUAUCAUAAACUGGAUGAAAGGCUUAAGGAUUUUGGCCUAGCCUGGUGUCUAGGAAGGCUGGAAUGAUCAGCUGCUAACAUUUCACCAUUGACUGUAAACAGGCAAGGAAGUGGCUGCUGGGGCUGGAGACAUUUGGAAUCCCUGCUCUCAAGCAUCAGCUUCUCUCUCCCACCUGCAACAGAAGAAAUAACAGGCAGGCGCUCACUGCGAGGCUGGAAACGUUCUUGGUGAUGGAGCUGAGACACAUGAAGUUACCGAGGGCAGGAGUGAAAGGCGAUUCGGUGCAGAUUUCGCAACAGAGAGAUCAGAAGCUCUGGCCUCAAACUGCUCUGGGUGAAACAGUGGCUGAAGCAAUUACUGAAGCGUUAGUGACUGUCCUGGAAGUUCCUGGAAGGGCAGGUGCUUGGAGCCAGCAAAGACACGAGGAUGCUGCUGCAGUUUGGGAGAGGUGGGGCUCCUGUCUCUGAGAGCUGCAUCACAGCACUGCAGUCCUGUGGGCUGGUUCCCUGUGCUUCUGUGUGCCCUCAAGGAGAAGACUUUGGUUUGUGUGACUGCCAGGUGACAACUCGGUACCUCGGAGCUGUCGGGUUCAAUGAGCCCAGCGACCGUGGUGGCUUCAGUUCAUUAGGAGAACUGGACUGUGCAUUACCCCUGACAGUCCUCGCGAUAGAUGGAAUGGAAAAAAACCCUCCCUUGCUUUGACCCACGGUUGCUCUUUCCUCUGAUGGUUCAUUGAUUCCCUUUGCUUCCCUUCUCAUUUAACAGAUUUUAUAAGUUGGGCAUUUACAGAUCUGCUGCUAUUAACAUUCAGUGUUAGUGGACCCGGGAGCUUCUCUGCCAACUAUUGCGGAGCUUCUGAGCCUGCUGAUUUAAAAACGUUCAUUGCUGAUAGAUUCUAACAUCUUUCUCAGUUACUAAUAGACUGGAAAGUAUUUCAUCAUCUUCAAGCAAUGAAAGCAAAUCAUCCUUCUUUCCAAAUACUGAAUAAAAGUCUGUUUGAACACUUCUGCAUUUUCUGCAUAAUCCUUCACAAUUCCACUGCCCGCACCGAGCAGUGACCCUGUGCUGUUGCUAGGGUUUCUUUUGCAAACACAACUUUCUUGUACUAAGCUCUGUCAGCCAUGGAUUUUAUUCUGAGGUUUCUUUGUUUCAUGCUUCUGUUCAUGUAGGUCAGGAGUUUUCCUGGCUAUUGAUUUACAACAAGUUAUCUGCAGUACUGGUGUUUGACAUUUCGGUGUUUGUUUGUUUGCUGCUAUGACUAACAAACGUUAACCAGGCGAGUCAAUUGUUUUAAGAUUACAUGCUGAGUGUCUGACAGUC